AACAAUUUUUCCACAGACGGGGGGUGGAGGGUAAUGGUUCAGGCGGUAAUGCAAGCGAUGGGGAGCAAUAGGUGAAGCUUUGCUCGCUUGCCAGCUGCUCACCUGCCGUGUGGCCCGGUUCCUAACGUUCAGUUAUUUCGCCUUCAUCAGUUGUCUUUGUCACCGAGAGAACCGCUAAGGAAUGAAAGAGUUUAAACCCUUUACUUCGGACCACACUCAGCCUGUCUGCAUCCCUCUGAUUCAACCACCAAGGGAGGAGGGAGGCGUCCUGGGGCUGCUGCUCCCCACUGACACCCACCCUGUCUAGCAUGCUUUUGGUCUCCAGGAUUUUACCAGGCACAUCAUAGCCUUCUUGGACAAUUUUAAACAGCAAGAUCACCAACAAAAAGCACAAAAGUGUCACUAAAUAGGCCACGAAAAGGACCAUUUUUUUACAGUAUGUGAACUGAAACAAGAUGGCAGAACAGCACCUUGUCCAACCUAAGCUGGCGAUACUGCAGUGAAGACUCCUGGGUAUAAAUCUUGGCACAGAUCCAUGAUCAUUCUCCUUCUAGUAAACACCAAGAGGUGGAAUUGUGGAGUCAGAAGGUGAGGUCACAGUGAGAAGGUGGCCAUGUACAAGCCAGAAAGGGACAGCUAUCACCAGAAACCGACCAUCGAUCAUGCUAGCAUCCUGAUCUUGAACUUCCGUCCUCCAGAACUCCACAAGAUGUUGGUGUGUGAGCCGUGCCGUGUCUAUGUGGAGCGAACCUCCCACAGAUCUUCAAUGGACAUUAAAUAUGGAAUAAUGAGACACAGGUAAAGAAACUUGUCCAAGUUCAGACAAGACCCUCGGAGAAGGUCAGGUAAGCUUUCUGAGACCACACAGCAAGCGAGUGGCGCAGCAAGUACUGAAAGCGAUGUUUGUCUCUCCCUCUCCUGCCAAGAAGAACUGCCAGGGGUCCCUGAGAAAGCAGAACAUGGGGAAGAGGGAAGGGAGAAGGCUGCGUCUGCGCGCCUGCUGGGAAGCGGGGGCUUCCGGAGCUGCAGGGUCGCUAUAGCGGGUGUGAUGCAAUCACGCCCGUCGCUGCGUCAAAGGGCGGCUCCCGGGAUGCGGGGACUGCAGUAGAGGUGGUCCCCACCGCCGCCCACCUCGCCUCUGCCGCCCACCGCGGCUAACCCGGCAGGCAACCGCUGCCGCUAACCUUCGUCCAGAGUCAGGACCACCGCCCCGGAGCCACCAGCGACACCGACAACAUCUCUCAGCCACCGGCGACUCUGACAACCGCCCCCAGGUACCGGUGGUCCCUGACAACCACUCCGA